CAAGAAAUGCGUCUUCAGAUAUUUCUGUGCUCGAUUAGAGUGGUCUGACCAGAGAUGCUAACAUCCCCAUUGAUUGAUAUCCACUUACGCUCCACACUGACAUCUACAGAGAAAACAUCACCAGCAUCAACAGUGAAUGUACAAUGCGUGGUGGGGAUUUAAAUCUGACGAAGACCAACGUUCUCUGAAGAUCAGACAAGGCAUUCGGCCGCUUCUAUCUGGGAUCAACCAACACCGCCUGAAAAGGUUAGCAGCAUGGUUGCCAACAAUGAGCAGAAAUUCUAGCAACGCAUCUCGGCCGCUAGCUAGUUAAAUUGUUUUUCUAGCUCGUUAGCUUUCCUGUUAGCAAUAAGCUCGCUAACGUAGACAACGACGGGUUGAGCUAACAAUUUAGUAGCAAAAAAACGUAGCUAGUUUGCCAUAUAGCAUUUGUGGAGGUUUACCAAUUGUAAUGUGGGAAAUGGGGAAUAUUACAAAUGCAUCUAACGUUAGCAAACUGCAUUUCUGAGCUGUGGUUUAUUAGCUAACGUUAACUAGCCCGCUAAUAUGCUAACGUUAAAUAGCAACAACCUAAGUUCGUUGGCUGGCUAGGUAGCUACAGUUGUAGUAAUAUUAUUUACUUUAAUAUCAGUUGUGCGUUAACAUUAUCCAACCAUCAAAUAGUGUAACUGAAUGUGGAACUCUAGCGAGCGUGUGUCAUUUCUCACUGACAAGUAGCUAGAAAGCCAGUAGUAGGCAGGCAAGCUUCAUAUGAGACAAUAGAAAAACCGAAACGGGUACAGCCCAGAUACAUACACUAAAUAUUUGUGUUAUGUACCUAUCUGGAUUGUUUUGGAUGUUUUCAUUAUGUGCAUUGCUAUGACCGAACAAACUAAUAUACCAAAUUGACCUCCUAUAGGGAUAAAAUAAUAAAUCCAUAUUUGGAACGUUUUUGACUGACGGCGACGCGCAACACAGACCAAGAGACUGUGCACGAACGACCGUAGAGAGGACGGCUCGAACACCCGCUGCUUCCAGUUGUACCUACGCCCCAAACCGAACGUUUCGUGCGAAGGAAGAGACUCCAGAACAGGCCGAUUACGAAGAUAGCAAGGCGAGGGAAGUAGGCUACGGCAAACCUCCAUCUCGCCCAGAUACCUCCAUUACGUCCACCUACCACAGCCCCCUUCAGCCAUGGACCCCCCGAGGACUCGGUCGCGGUCACGGUCAGGUUUUUUUCACUAUGGCAUGAAUGGUAGUGGCAACGGCAAUAACGCAAUCAACAACGGGAACAUGAAUGCCAGCGGAGGGAUCGGGGUGAACUACCCGCAACAGACCAACACCGGCUGGGCUCCGCACACAGCGCGCAGCUAUACAGAGAACCAGCACACCCAGGGGAACUACCUGUCUAGCGGGGCGCAACGCCACGCUUCGCAUGGAGCACACAGACACCCCGGCACUGGUGUCCUUCACUUCCACCCUGAUAACGUCUGCAGUGAUGAGCGGGACAAGGUGAGUAUAUUUCCCUUUCCCUAUUACACCUAGUACCAGGACAGCUGGAAUGCUGUAGCAUGGUGUUAAAGUGGAACUGACAGUGUUUUAGCAGCAUGAAAUCUUGUAAAAAUAUGAUGCUUUUUAAUUUUUUAGAACAUGUUCUGUCUAGCGGGCACAUAGAUAUGGUCAUUUUCACUGUGUCAAACUUUCAUAGAAUGUUUGGGAAUGAUGUAGAGUAAGGCAUUUGUGUUUACAUUUUUAUAGCAAUAUAGAGUGGGAAAGUGGCUGUGCAUUUGGACAAUUAAGACAGUGCAGUAAAUAAAACCAAAUAAAAAUGGCAGUCUUAUCCAGGCUACACAGAUUGUAGCACCAUAGCCAAUCAGAGUUACAGUAGGCCUAUAUGCAAAUAAGCCAUUUGCCACAAGGGCCUGCCAUCACUCACUUUGAACUAGACUGUUUACAGGCAGUAGCAACAGCACAACUUUAGAUCAUUAGAAAGCAUUUGCCAAAAGCCACAAAAUACACCUGACUGGGUUUCUGCACAUACAGUACCAGUCGAAAGUUUGGUCGCGCCUACUCAUUCAAGUUUAAGAAUAAUAGUGAAGACAUCAAAACUAUGAAAUAACACAUGGAAUCAUGUAGUAAGCAAAAAAGUGUUAAACAAAUCCAAAUAUAUUUCAGAUUCUUCAGUCUCCACCCUUUGCCUUGAUAGCUUUGCACACUCUUGGUGUUCUGUCAACCAGCUUAAUGAGGUAGUCACCUGGAAUGCAUUUCAAUUAACAGGUGUGCCUUGUUAAUUUCAGGAAUUUCUUUCCUUAAUGCGUUUGAGCCAAGUUGUUGUGUUGUUACAAGGUAGGGGUAGUAUAAAGAAGAUAGCCCUAUUUGAUAAAAUACAAAGUCCAUAUUAUGGCAAGAACAGCUCAAAUAAGCAAAUAGAAAUGACAGUCCAUCAUUACUUUAACACAUGGUCAGUCAAUACGGAACAUUUCAAGAACUUUGAAAGUUUCUUCCACUGCAGUUGCAAAAACCAUCAAGCGCUAUGAUGAAACUGGCUCUCAUGAGGACCGCCACAGGAAAGGAAGACCCAGAGUUACCUCUGCUGCAGAGGAUAAGUUCAUUAGUUACCAGCUUCAGAAAUUGCAGCCCAAAUAAAUGCUUCAUAAUUCAAGUAACACACAUCUCAACAUCAACUGUUCAGGGGUGACUGUGUGAAUCAGGCCUUCAUGGUUAAAUGCUGCAAAGAUACUACUACUAAAGGACAACAAUAAGAAGAGACUUGCUUGGACCAAGAAACACGAGCGAUGGACAUUAGACUGUUGGGCAUCUGUCCUUGGUCUGAUGAGUCAAAAUAUGAGGUUUUUGGUUCAACCGCUGUGCCUUUGUGAGACGCAGAGGUGAACGAACGUAUGAUCUCCGCAUGUGUGGUUCCCACUUUGAAGCAUGGAG
ensembl:lncRNA